rnacentral:rRNA from 1 species
AUUGAACGCUGGCGGCAGGCCUAACACAUGCAAGUCGAGCGGAUGAAGGGAGCUUGCUCCUGGAUCCCGCGGCGGACGGGUGUGUAAUGCCUAGGAAUCUGCCUGGUAGUGGGUGAUAACGUCCGGAAACGGGUGCUAAUACUGCCUACGUCCUGCUGGUGCAAGUGGGGGGUCUUCGGACCUCACGCUCUCAGAUGAGUCUAGGUCGGAUUAGCUAGUUGGUGGGGUAAGGGCCUACCUAGGCGACGAUUCGUAACUGGUCUGAGAGGAUGAUCAGUCACACUGGAACUGAGACACGGUCCAGACUCCUGCGGGAGGCAGCAGUGGGGAAUAUUGGGCAAUGGGCGAAAGCAUGAUCCAGCCAUGCCGCGUGUGUGAAGAAGGUCUUCGGAUUGUAAAGCACUUUAAGUUGGGAGGAAGGGCAGUAAGUUAAUACCUUGCUGUUUUGACGUUACCAACAGAAUAAGCACCGGCUAACUUCGUG